AGCAGCAGGAUAACAAAGAGGCUUUCCUCCUUGGCCCUUCACUAGGUCCUCUCUCUCUUGUCUCGAGACUCAGGAUCUUAGGGGUCAGGCCUGGGCACCUGCCAUCCCCACGCUGCUGUGCAAGGAGAAUAGCCUCUAGGCCACCAGGAGCCCCAAAGUCCUAACGGGAAAGAAGGAACAAGGAUAAAGGACCUCCUUCCCAAGAGAUCCCCUUUGCCGCUGUCUCCGGGGGAUUUCCACAAGGCGUUUUUUAUCAAGGACAUCCAUUCACAGAGGAUCUGCACUCAGGCUCCGUGGGCAUGGGUGACAUCCCAGCUCUACAAAGGGAUCACUAUCAUCUCCUGUCUGCAGAUGAAGAACCUGAGGCUCUGAGAGGAUCCUGAAUUCAAUCAUGUUGUCACUGUUAUAUAACAGUUCACCCACAGCUACUUUCUGUAGCUAUUCCUGAUCACCACUCAGGACAAAACACAAUAUAUUUCUUUCCUGUGGAUUUCAAGACUAACUUAAAGAAAGAAUUUGUAUUAUUCCACACUUUAUUUCUAUAUCUGGUUCUGAUUCAGGAAGAAUUGCUACAAUGAAACUCUCCUCUCUCAUUGGCUUUGGAGAAGUAAGCUAUUUAUUAUGAGCUAGCCCAUGAAGACAGCCGAGUGGCAGCAACUAAGGGCAGUCUUUGAUGUAUGACUCAGGGAACUCAAACCAGGGCUCUGUGACAACCU